rnacentral:rRNA from 1 species
GGAUUCCCCUAGUAACUGCGAGUGAAGCGGGAAAAGCUCAAAUUUAAAAUCUGGCGGUCUUUGGCCGUCCGAGUUGUAAUUUAGAGAAGCGUCUUCCGCGCCGGACCGUGCACAAGUCUCCUGGAAUGGAGCGUCAUAGAGGGUGAGAAUCCCGUCUUUGGCACGGAUGCCUGGUGCUCUGUGAUGCGCUCUCGAAGAGUCGAGUUGUUUGGGAAUGCAGCUCAAAAUGGGUGGUGAACUCCAUCUAAAGCUAAAUAUUGGCGAGAGACCGAUAGCGAACAAGUACCGUGAGGGAAAGAUGAAAAGCACUUUGGAAAGAGAGUGAAACAGUACGUGAAAUUGUUGAAAGGGAAACGCUUGAAGUCAGUCGCGUCGACCGAGACUCAGCCUUGCCUCGGCUUGGUGUACUUCUCGGCCCGACGGGUCAGCGUCAAUUUUGCCCCUCGGAUAAUGGCAAGGGAAAGGUGGCACCUUUACGGGUGUGUUAUAGUCUCCUGUCGCAUGCGAGGGGUGGGAUUGAGGAACUCAGCGCGCACCUUUGGUGUCGGGGCUUCGGCCCACGUCACGCGCUUAGGAUGCUGGCGUAAUGGCUUUAAACGACCCGUCUUGAAACACGGACCAAGGAGUCUAACAUGCCCGCGAGUGUUCGGGUGGAAAACCCGUGCGCGUAAUGAAAGUGAAAGUUGGGACCUCUGUCGUGGAGGGCACCGACGCCCGGACCAGACCUUCUGUGACGGAUCUGCGGUAGAGCGUGCAUGUUGGGACCCGAAAGAUGGUGAACUAUGCCUGAAUAGGGUGAAGCCAGAGGAAACUCUGGUGGAGGCUCGUAGCGAUUCUGACGUGCAAAUCGAUCGUCAAAUUUGGGUAUAGGGGCGAAAGACUAAUCGA